GCCAAUCAUAAGGCUCAUAAAAGUGUCACCGGUGAGUUUGUUGCAGCGCGCUGCACGCUGGCUGGUUGAGUUUAUCAAAAUCAACAAAGUGCAGAAUCUGUAGAUACGCAGUGUUGGGUAGCGCUUCGCUCAGAGACUCAUGAUGCAUCUCCACGGACUUCACUUCGGUCGUGAUGUUGACCGGGGCAAAGGUCACCACCAUGCUGGGCCGCAUGAUACCUGUCUCCACCCUGCCUACUGGUACAGUCCCUAUACCUGAAGAGAAUAUGAUUGCAGUGUUCCUGUAGCUCAACGGGGUUAACGGAAACGACCGCAAAAUUAAUAAAUAAAGACCUAGAAGAAGA